ACUCCUCCACAACGGCUUCCUGACGUGGGGGAUUAUUUGAAUGGAGCA
rnacentral:ncRNA from 13 species